AUUCGGUUAAUACUCUCUGCAAGGCCAUGCGCAGAAAAGCUAGACUACUCGAGGGCGCUACUCCCGGAGCCGAGACCAAGGCGCGCAAACUGACCAGGAAGCGCGUGAAGUCGAAGAGUCUAUUGUGCGGGGUAGAGCUCACUGAUGCCGAAGCCUCGGAGCUGCGCAGGUUUAUACGCGCGGGGGUGUAGCUCGUUGCCUCUGCCUCCUAUCCGUGUCUGUGUCGCUCUCUUUAGUGUGUGUCGCUUUCUCUCAUGUUUAACAUCUUGUCUUGGAACGUUCGCGGUCUUAACAACCCCACUAAGCGUCGUUGCGUUAGGUCGGUCGUCUCUAAAUUUUUUCGCUCUGUCGUCUCUAUCCAAGAAUCCAAGGUAGAUUCUGUGUCCCGGUC
rnacentral:lncRNA from 1 species